AUUCCAUGAUGAAGGCAUUUUUGUAAUAACUCCUAAAAUCGUUCCCAUGCCUCAUACAAGGACUCAUCUUCGGAUUGCUGAAACGUAGUAAUUUCAUUUAUGAGUUU
rfam:Gossypium raimondii chromosome 9, whole genome shotgun sequence.